ACCUGCCUUCAGGAUGGGGACAACAGACGGAAACGACUGCUAAUACCGAAUAAGUUCCAAGAGCCGCAUGGCCCAUGGAAGAAAAGGGUGGCCUCUACCUGUAAGCUAUCGCCUGAAGAGGGGUUUGCGUCUGAUUAGCUGGUUGGAGGGGUAACGGCCCACCAAGGCGACGAUCAGUAGCCGGUCUGAGAGGAUGAACGGCCACACUGGAACUGAGACACGGUCCAGACUCCUACGGGAGGCAGCAUG
rnacentral:rRNA from 1 species